UCACUACCUUUGAAACCAAAUCUCACAGAGUCAUUCUAGCACCUCGAGUCAACACCCUGAAGAAAAAAUGAUAUGGUAUCAUGCAUGUGCAGCAAACCAAUCGAGAAUUCAGAACAACAAAAGUAAAAUUCAUGUCGAUCCAUACCUCCAUCUGGCACCCUAGAUCCUGAGAUGACCAGUACUGAUCGCCGUUCAUUUAACUAGUCAUGUACCAAAAAUGCCCGAAAGCAAUUCCCAUGAGUACAGGUUAUAGAACUCGUAUGCCUCCUCAAGUGAGUCAAAUCGGGUAGAUAUGGUCGUCCGAAAAAAUAUGUAUUUGUUGAUCUGCCUGAACAAUUCCUAAGGGCCAAUUCUAUAGCUCCAAUCUCUUUUGACGGCCCAACACAAACAUCAGAUCCUUUCCUGCAGACACCAUGCAUAUAAAUGGCAAACAUGAAGGCCAGGAACUAGUAAGAAUGAAUUUCACAUUUGAUAUAUCACUGAGUUCAGAGAAAUAUACAGAUUCAGUGGGAACACAUGAAUGGACAGAGCAAAAAUUCAGAAAAAUACAACAAUGAGAAGAAUACAAACAUCCAAUAUGCAAAACAAGACAUGUCCAAGCCCAGUCCCACCAGCACCUGGCCUCAGUGGCCAAGCUUUACUAAUUGGAAAAAGAAUAAUGCUGCUGCUCC
rnacentral:lncRNA from 1 species